rnacentral:rRNA from 1 species
GUGAGGAAUAUUGGUCAAUGGGUGCAAACCUGAACCAGCCAAGCCGCGUGAAGGAUGAAGGCUCUAGUAGUCGUAAACUUCUUUUAUGGGGGAAUAAUAGCUUGUACGUGUACAGGUAUGAAUGUACUCCAUGAAUAAGCAUCGGCUAACUCCGUGCCAGCAGCCGCGGUAAUACGGAGGAUGCAGGCGUUAUCCGGAUUUAUUAGGUUUAAAGGGUGUGUAGGCGGAUUGCUAAGUCAGUGGUGAAAUCUCCCGGCUUAACCGGGAAACUGCCAUAGAUACUGGUAGUCUUGAAUAUAGUUGAGGUAGGCGGAAUGUGUCAUGUAGCGGUGAAAUGCUUAGAUAUGACACAGAACACCGAUUGCGUAGGCAGCUUACUAAACUAUUAUUGACGCUGAGGCACGAAAGCGUGGGGAGCGAACAGGAUUAGAAACCCCAGUAGUCC